rnacentral:snRNA from 1 species
GCAAUGUGCUUUCUGCUCU